CCUACGGGUGGCUGCAGUGGGGGAUAUUGCACAAUGGGGGAAACCCUGAUGCAGCGACGCCGCGUGUGGGAAGACGGUCCUCUGGAUUGUAAACCACUGUCCCCAGGGACGAAGAUGACGGUACCUGGGGAGGAAGCUCCGGCUAACUACGUGCCAGCAGCCGCGGUAAUACGUAGGUGGCGAGCGUUGUCCGGAUUUACUGGGCGUAAAGGGAGCGUAGGCGGACUUUUAAGUGAGAUGUGAAAUACUCGGGCUCAACUUGAGUGCUGCAUUUCAAACUGGAAGUCUAGAGUGCAGGAGAGGAGAAUGGAAUUCCUAGUGUAGCGGUGAAAUGCGUAGAGAUUAGGAAGAACACCAGUGGCGAAGGCGAUUCUCUGGACUGUAACUGACGCUGAGGCUCGAAAGCGUGGGGAGCAAACAGGAUUAGAUACCCCAGUAGUC
rnacentral:rRNA from 1 species